UACGUAGGGUGCAAGCGUUGUCCGGAAUUAUUGGGCGUAAAGAGCUCGUAGGCGGUCUGUCACGUCGGCUGUGAAAUCCCGAGGCUCAACCUCGGGUCUGCAGUCGAUACGGGCAAACUAGAGUAUUGCAGGGGAGACUGGAAUUCCUGGUGUAGCGGUGAAAUGCGCAGAUAUCAGGAGGAACACCGGUGGCGAAGGCGGGUCUCUGGGCAAUAACUGACGCUGAGGAGCGAAAGCGUGGGUAGCAAACAGG
rnacentral:rRNA from 1 species